CAGAGGGUGCAAGCGCUGUUCGGAAUUACUGGGCGUAAAGCGCGCGCAGGCGGAUCCUGUAAGUCGGAAGUGAAAUUUCGGAGCUCAACUCCGAAGCUGCUUCUGAUACUGCGGAUCUAGAGAUCGGUAGAGGUCGGUAGAAUUACAGGUGUAGCGGUGGAAUGCGUAGAUAUCUGUAAGAAUACCCGUGGCGAAGGCGGCCGACUGGGCCGGAUCUGACGCUGAGGCGCGAAAGCGUGGGGAGCAAACAGGAUUAGAUACCCUGGUAGUCCACGCCGUAAACGAUGGGCACUAGGUGCCGGGGGGAGCGACCCCUUCGGUGCCGCAGCUAACGCGAUAAGUGCCCCGCCUGGGGAGUACGGCCGCAAGGCUG
rnacentral:rRNA from 1 species